rnacentral:lncRNA from 1 species
CGGAAGUGCAGUCCACCCUUCAGAAACCUGAGCAGCUGUCCUGCACCUUUCCUGGAGGUUCAUAUCCUUCCUGAGCUGUGCCCACAGGUAUACAAUAUGAUGAUGUUCAUCACUGGGAAUUUGUACAAAGCUGCUCGCUCGGUGGAAGAGGACGACUACCCCCGAUAGAGGAGGCCCAUUUCCUCAGUCAAGCAGCUGUGCUCCCCUGCUAGAAUCUCCAAACAAGCUCACAUAGAAAAGGCACCAGAGUCACCAUCACAGAGCCAUGCUGUACAACUAUCCUCUUAGAUGAAAUCAGCACACCCACCUCGGUGGAUUCUGGUUCCUGGCCAAGCCCCCCCAUGGAUCCAAGCACCAAGCCCA